AAAACAUCGCCUCCUGCAAAAAUCAACGUAUAGGAGGUCUUACCUGCCCAGUGACUGCAAGUUAAACGGCCGCGGUAUUUUGACCGUGCAAAGGUAGCGCAAUCACUUGUCUUUUAAAUGAAGACCUGUAUGAAUGGUGAAACGAGGGCUUAACUGUCUCCCCCCUCCAGUCAAUGAAAUUGAUCUACCCGUGCAGAAGCGGGUAUAAUGAUACAAGACGAGAAGACCCUUUGGAGCUUAAGAUGAAAAGUCAACUAUAUCAAAAGUCCCAAAAAGAAUCUAAACCAAAUAGCACUGAUCCUAAUCUUCGGUUGGGGUGACCACGGGAGAAAAUAAAGCUCCCAUGCGGACUGGGACUAUCCCCUAAAGCUAAGAGAGACAUCUCUAAAACACAGAACAUCUGACCAAAAAGAUCCGGCUAAACGCCGACCAACGGACCAAGUUACCCUAGGGAUAACAGCGCAAUCCCCUUCCAGAGUCCAUAUCGACAAGGGGGUUUACGACCUCGAUGUUGGAUCAGGACAUCCUAAUGGUGCAGCCGCUAUUAAGGGUUC
rnacentral:rRNA from 1 species